rnacentral:tRNA from 1 species
GAGGGCACAGCUCAGUGGAAGAGCACAUGCUUAGCAUGCAUGAGGUCCUGGGUUCAACCCCUAGUACCUCA